rnacentral:lncRNA from 1 species
AGUCACCUUAGGGUUAUUACUAUUUCCAAUCACCCAAAAUCACAUGCAAAUUCUUGGCUAAACUCCUCACAACCCAAGGAUUAAGGCAAUUAAGGUAAUAGAAAAAUAUACUCUUCUUUCCUCACCAAUCUCUCUGCCUCUCGUACUCUCUCAUUCUCACAAACUCCAAUUUCACUCUCAAUUCUUAAUUGCAUGUGUUGUUCAUUCAAUCAUAAGGAUAUGGGCCAUUGGAAUUCUAAGGUAAAAGUAGUAAUUUCAGUUUCAUUCCUUUUUUCUAUGAACCCUAAGACCAAUAUAUGUCCCUACCCAUUGGAUUGAUUGUUUGUACAUGAUUUUAUGUUUUGGAACACUCAUGAGAGCUUGGGGCCUGCAUUGAACAAGAAAAUAGGAGAGAAGAACAGAAAUUGGAAACAAGCAAAAAUUGGAAUGAGCCUAAGGAAAUUCGUGUUUGAGAUAUGCCUGCAGUAAAACAGUAAGUACUCUCUCCCUGUAACUCCGAAUUGAGUGAUUUUUGUUUCUAUGAAAAGCUGACGCAAUUCCCUUCGACUGAGUACCAAUUUGGUAAUUUUUGGAUUAAUAAUGAAGUCUCAGUCCACGUUUGAAUCUAGGGUACUGAUGCUGUCAAAUUCUGGUUUUUGGAUUGUGAGUUUUACGCGCUCGGAUGCUCGAGAGUGUACGGAUCAGUUCAGUGAUGCGGAUCGAACCCAGGC